UACGUAGGGAGCGAGCGUUAUCCGGAUUCAUUGGGCGUAAAGGGCGCGUAGGCGGCCCGUUAAGCCAGGUGUCAAAUCGAGGGGCUCAACCUCCGCACGCACCUGGAACUGGCGGGCUCGAGUCCGGUAGGGGAAGACGGAACUCCCAGUGUAGCGGUGAAAUGCGCAGAUAUUGGGAGGAACACCGAUGGCGAAGGCAGUCUUCUGGGCCGGCACUGACGCUGAGGCGCGAAAGCUGGGGGAGCGAACAGGAUUAGAUACCCUGGUAGUCCCAGCCGUAAACGAUGGACGCUAGGUGUGGGGGCCGCGAAGGUCCCCGCGCCGCAGCCAACGCAUUAAGCGUCCCGCCUGGGGAGUACGGCCGCAAGGCUAAA
rnacentral:rRNA from 1 species